rnacentral:rRNA from 1 species
UACGUAGGGUGCGAGCGUUAAUCGGAAUUACUGGGCGUAAAGCGUGCGCAGGCGGUUCGUUGUGUCGGCGGUGAAAGCCCCGGGCUUAACCUGGGAAUGGCCGUUGAAACUGGCGAACUGGAGUGUGGCAGAGGGGGGUGGAAUUCCGCGUGUAGCAGUGAAAUGCGUAGCAGAUGCGGAGGAACACCGAUGGCGAAGGCAGCCCCUGGGCUAACACUGACGCUCAGGCACGAAAGCGUGGGGAGCAACAGG